UUGGGGAGGGGAAUGGGGUCUAGUGGUUAGGGUGGGCUGCCUGCGGGGAUGGUGGUUGGGGGGGUGUUUGUGCCCAUCUCUCAUUGCAUCUCCCCUUGCUCGCCCCCUGCAGGCAGCAAUCUGCGUUGCAGACAAUGUGCCCUGAACGAGCCCUACAUCGGUUGCCUCCCCGGAGUCUCUGAGUGCACCCCUAAGGCCGGGCAUCCAUGCAUGACUGUCAACAUCGGCUAUAGAGGUGAGGUGCAGUUCCUCCUCCAGGGCUGCAUCAUGAAUCCCAGCCGCUGCGGGAUGGUGAAGGAGUUGAUGGUUCCCGAGUACCACAUCAACAUCACCUGCUGCUCCCACGCCUCCUUCUGCAACGAGUGGGUCCCGCUGCCCCCUGGCAAGGGAGGGCACUGAGUCUGGCCUGCCGCCUGCCGCCUACCACCCUCUUCCAUCCCUGUCUGUCCUCCGUCCCGGUCCCCAUCCCUCCUCCCCCUCCUGCAGUUCUCCAGCCAUCUUAUUCC
ensembl:lncRNA